rnacentral:rRNA from 1 species
GUGCCAGCAGCCGCGGUAAGACAGAGGGGGCAAGCGUUGCUCGGAAUUACUGGGCGCAAAGGGCGCGUAGGCGGGAUGGCAAGUCGGUCGUGAAAUCCCUCUGCUCAACUGAGGAUCGUCGAUCUACACUGCCGUUCUUGAGGAUUUCAGAGGAGACUGGAAUUCCCGGUGUAGCGGUGAAAUGUGUAGAGAUCGGGAGGAACACCGGUGGCGAAGGCGGGUCUCUGGGCAAUUCCUGACGCUCAGGCACGAAAGCGUGGGGAGCAAACAGGAUCAGAUACCCUGGUAGUCCACGCCAUAAACGAUGAGGACUAGACGUUGGAGGGGUAAGCCUUUCAGUGUCGUAGCUAACGCGCUAAGUCCUCCGCCUGGGGAGUACGGCCGCAAGGUUGAAACUCAAGGGAAUUGGCGG